rnacentral:rRNA from 1 species
ACAAACGCUGGCGGCGUGCCUAACACAUGCAAGUCGAACGGCAGCACAGGAGAGCUUGCUCUCUGGGUGGCGAGUGGCGGACGGGUGAGGAAUACAUCGGAAUCUACUUUUUCGUGGGGGAUAACGUAGGGAAACUUACGCUAAUACCGCAUACGACCUACGGGUGAAAGCAGGGGACCUUCGGGCCUUGCGCGAUUGAAUGAGCCGAUGUCGGAUUAGCUAGUUGGCGGGGUAAGGGCCCACCAAGGCGACGAUCCGUAGCUGGUCUGAGAGGAUGAUCAGCCACACUGGAACUGAGACACGGUCCAGACUCCUACGGGAGGCAGCAGUGGGGAAUAUUGGACAAUGGGCGCAAGCCUGAUCCAGCCAUACCGCGUGGGUGAAGAAGGCCUUCGGGUUGUAAAGCCCUUUUGUUGGGAAAGAAAUCCAGCCGGCUAAUACCUGGUUGGGAUGACGGUACCCAAAGAAUAAGCACCGGCUAACUUCGUGCCAGCCGCCGCCGUAACAC